UCAGGACGAACGCUGGCGGCGUGGAUAAGGCAUGCAAGUCGAGCGCGAAAGCUCCCUUCGGGGAGUGAGUAGAGCGGCAAACGGGUGAGUAACACGUGAGUAAUCUGCCUUUAGGUGGGGGACAACUUCGGGAAACCGGAGCUAAUACCGCAUAAUGUUAUUUGUUCGCAUGGACGAAUAACCAAAGGGGGGCACUUCUAUCCUCCCGCCUGAAGAGGAGCUCGCGCCUGAUUAGCUAGUUGGUGAGGUAAAAGCUCACCAAGGCGAUGAUCAGUAGUCGGUCUGAGAGGAUGGCCGGCCACACUGGGAUUGAGAUACGGCCCAGACUCCUACGGGAGGCAGCAGUCUAGAAGCUUCGGCAAUGGGGGAAACCCUGACCGAGCGACGCCGCGUGCAGGACGAAGGCCUUCGGGUUGUAAACUGCUUUCGACUGGGAGGAAAGGUAGUGUAGUUAAUACCUGCAUUGCUUGACAGUACCAGGAGAAGAAGCCCCGGCUAACUCCGUGCCAGCAGCCGCGGUAAUACGGAGGGGGCAAGCGUUGUUCGGAUUUAUUGGGCGUAAAGCGCGCGUAGGUGGUUAAGUAAGUCGGAUGUUAAAGACCCACGGCUCACCCGGGGGAAUGCGUCCGAUACUGCUUGGCUAGAGUACAGGAGAGGGAAGUGGAAUUCCUGGUGUAGCGGUGAAAUGCGUAGAUAUCAGGAGGAACACCGGUGGCGAAGGCGGCUUCCUGGCCUGUAACUGACACUGAGGCGCGAAAGCGUGGGUAGCGAACGGGAUUAGAUACCCCGGUAGUCCACGCCGUAAACGUUGGAUACUAGGUGUCGGGGGUUUUCUACCCCCUC
rnacentral:rRNA from 1 species